AAUAUACUCUCUUUGUCUGAAAAAGCUUGUCCCUCAAAUGGAUGUAUCUAGCACUAACUUGGUACUAGAUACAUCCAUUUGAGGGACAAACUUUUUCGGACGGCGGGAGUACUAU
rfam:Triticum aestivum genome assembly, contig: Triticum_aestivum_CS42_TGACv1_scaffold_094756_2AL